UACAGAGGGGGCAAGCGUUAUUCGGAAUUAUUGGGCGUAAAGGGCGCGUAGGCGGCUUUUCAAGUGACGGGUGAAAUCCCUCGGCUUAACCGAGGAACUGCCUGUCAGACUGGAAGGCUUGAGACCGGGAGAGGUGAGUGGAAUUCCCAGUGUAGCGGUGAAAUGCGUAGAUAUUGGGAGGAACACCAGUGGCUAAGGCGGCUCUCUGGUACGGCACUGACGCUGAGACGCGAAAGCGUGGGGAGCGAACAGG
rnacentral:rRNA from 1 species